rnacentral:lncRNA from 1 species
CAAAUCAUAAGACCAGAUAAAUCGAAAAACAUACAGAAAAAAAAAAAGUGUGUUGCCCGGACUCUUCAAAAAUGCUGGCUGGUGCAUGUUAGAUCCUUCAAAAGCAGUACAUUUUUUAAGGAUCUGACACGGGUGUGGCAACAUUAUUCACAGGUGCGGCAACAUUAUUCGAGAGUCUGAGCAACAUAGGAGAAAACAUACUUACAGAUACAUUGUAGGG